AGACCAGUAUGAAUGGCAAGACGAAAGUUCAACUGUCUCCCUAAAUUAAUCAAUGAAAUUGAUUUUUCCGUGCAGAAGCGGAAAUAUAAUUAUAAGACGAGAAGACCCUAUGGAGCUUUAAACAUAUGAUCAAUUGCGUAACAUAAAAUCCAAAAGAUAAAAUAUUUAAUAAAACAAUAUGAUCAAAAUUUUAGGUUGGGGCGACCACGGAGAAAAACAAAACCUCCGAGAUGAAAAGAAUAUCUUAAUUCGAGAACUACAAUUCUAAAAAAUAAAAUAUUUAACAUAAUUGAUCCAAUACUUUGAUCAACGAACCAAGUUACCCUAGGGAUAACAGCGCAAUCCUCUCCAAGAGUCCCUAUCGACGAGCGGGUUUACGACCUCGAUGUUGGAUCAGGACAUCCCAAUGGUGCAGCCGCUAUUAAAGGUUCGUUUGUUCAACGAUUAAAGUCCUACGUGAUC
rnacentral:rRNA from 1 species